rnacentral:sRNA from 1 species
GCGAAGCUGCGGGGCCCGUGAGGACCAUUCCCCGGGGCCUUAUCGAUCCUUUGGGAGCCGUCCCUGACCGGGCCUGCGGGCCCGGACACAUGGCGCCCACCUACGUUGUAGGUUCCCGGGAUCGACGUCCCACGGCUCAUGCGGCUUCGCG